UACGUAGGGCGCAAGCGUUAUCCGGAAUUAUUGGGCGUAAAGAGCUCGUAGGCGGUUUGUCGCGUCUGCCGUGAAAUUCCGGGGCUCAACUCCGGAUCUGCGGUGGGUACGGGCAGACUAGAGUGAUGUAGGGGAGACUGGAAUUCCUGGUGUAGCGGUGAAAUGCGCAGAUAUCAGGAGGAACACCGGUGGCGAAGGCAGGUCUCUGGGCAUUAACUGACGCUGAGGAGCGAAAGCAUGGGGAGCGAACAGG
rnacentral:rRNA from 1 species